UACGGGGGGGGCAAGCGUUGUUCGGAAUUACUGGGCGUAAAGGGUUCGUAGGCGGCCAACUAAGUCAGACGUGAAAUCCCUCGGCUUAACCGGGGAACUGCGUCUGAUACUGGAUGGCUUGAGUUCGGGAGAGGGAUGCGGAAUUCCAGGUGUAGCGGUGAAAUGCGUAGAUAUCUGGAGGAACACCGGUGGCGAAGGCGGCAUCCUGGACCGACACUGACGCUGAGGGGCGAAAGCCAGGGGAGCAAACAGG
rnacentral:rRNA from 1 species